rnacentral:rRNA from 1 species
GAUGAACGCCGGCGGCGUGCCUAAUACAUGCAAGUCGAGCGAACAGACGAGGAGCUUGCUCCUCUGACGUUAGCGGCGGACGGGUGAGUAACACGUGGAUAACCUACCUAUAAGACUGGGAUAACUUCGGGAAACCGGAGCUAAUACCGGAUAAUAUAUUGAACCGCAUGGUUCAAUAGUGAAAGACGGUUUUGCUGUCACUUAUAGAUGGAUCCGCGCCGCAUUAGCUAGUUGGUAAGGUAACGGCUUACCAAGGCAACGAUGCGUAGCCGACCUGAGAGGGUGAUCGGCCACACUGGAACUGAGACACGGUCCAGACUCCUACGGGAGGCAGCAGUAGGGAAUCUUCCGCAAUGGGCGAAAGCUUGACGGAGCAACGCCGCGUGAGUGAUGAAGGUCUUCGGAUCGUAAAACUCUGUUAUUAGGGAAGAACAAAUGUGUAAGUAACUAUGCGCGUCUUGACGGUACCUAAUCAGAAAGCCACGGCUAACUACGUG